GAUGAACGCUGGCGGCGUGCCUAAUACAUGCAAGUCGAGCGAACAGACGAGGAGCUUGCUCCUCUGACGUUAGCGGCGGACGGGUGAGUAACACGUGGAUAACCUACCUAUAAGACUGGGAUAACUUCGGGAAACCGGAGCUAAUACAGGAUAAUAUAUUGAACCGCAUGGUUCAAUAGUGAAAGACGGUUUUGCUGUCACUUAUAGAUGGAUCCGCGCCGCAUUAGCUAGUUGGUAAGGUAACGGCUUACCAAGGCAACGAUGCGUAGCCGACCUGAGAGGGUGACCGGCCACACUGGAACUGAGACACGGUCCAGACUCCUACGGGAGGCAGCAGUAGGGAAUCUUCCGCAAUGGGCGAAAGCCUGACGGAGCAACGCCGCGUGAGUGAUGAAGGUCUUCGGAUCGUAAAACUCUGUUAUUAGGGAAGAACAAAUGUGUAAGUAACUAUGCACGUCUUGACGGUACCUAAUCAGAAAGCCACGGCUAACUACGUG
rnacentral:rRNA from 1 species